CCGUCAGAUAUUUCCUGAUUUGUUCCUAAUCUUGUUUUAUUCCAGAAGUAUAAAAUGUCUCAACUUUGGUUUGAUUACCUUCUUUUACCGGAUAAACUGACACAGGAUCUUGAAGCGAAGAAGCUGAGUAAAGAUGAGAUCGGGAAACUUCUUUUAGAUUUACUCACCAACCUUUUGAAUAGGGAGGAUUCAACACAACAUUUUUUAUUUCUUCAUACUUCUAGCAUCAAAAUACAUCCAUUUUUGUAUUUAUUUUUCUCUUUUUUUCAAAGCUUCAGGGUGUUCCUCUACAACUGAUAUUUAUUUUCGACUAUCAUUUUAUUGGCAAAUGCGCAAAACUGGGUUAAAAAAUCCGAAAGAUUGACUAGCUUGAAGGGACAUUUCAUAUUCUGGUCGAAAAAAAAAUGGCUCCAGUCAGAAUUGAUAGGUCAAAUACUGAAGAGUAGAAAAUCUGGAUUAUCCUGGGAUAUGGAAAACUUCCAAAUAAGCUUCAGGUUCACCGAGCCUUCAGGUUACAGUUAUUGCUCAAUCUGCUAUUGAUAAAGAGCUUAAAAUGAUUUUGAAAGAAUUUUAUGUUUCCCUGCAGCCUGCAGAAAUCAGAAAGUGUGUCAGCCACAUUAGAGAUCGAGCCAGAGACUGUAUAUCUCUAAAUGGAGCCUGUUUCGAAUCACAGCUAAACCAACUUAGAAAAGUUCAUAUGAAUGGCGAUUUUUCUUAAAACAUAAAUGUCCCAAUCUAGUUCAACUAAUAAUAUAUUUAAUGCAAGAUUA